rnacentral:lncRNA from 1 species
UUUUGUGUUUGUGGUCCUGUGUUAAAAGCUUGCUAAACGCGCGUUAAAAGCGAUUUUUUCACCCCUAUCGAGUAAGUUUAUCGCUUCUUUCGGAAUGCGCUGAAAGGCUCAACGCGCUCGUAUCUAGGUCGGGGGUAAUUCAACUGUAUAAGCAAGGCUCGGGAUAUGGGGAUAUGGAUUUCACCUUAUGGGGAAUAGGCUGAAAGAGCAACAGGCAACCAAGACUUAUGAAGUGCGUUCAGGCUCACUUUACACUAAAAAAAUGGGAACCCUAGUUCGAAAUAUGAAACGACGUUUGCAACAGGAGAGUCGGCGAAGGGAUCAACAGUCUUCCUUCAGUAAAGGCCCAUCCAGGUGUCUUCGCCCACCUUUACAUAUGCGAUUGUUCGCUCGACCUGGCUGCCCAGUUACGAAAUAUAUAGCUAUAAAAAAAGCUAGAAAUAGAACUCAACUUAGUUGCUCAGUCUCUAGGAAUUCCCAAGCGUUAGCGAAGAAAGAAGCCUACUUGAAGAAGGCUGCCAAGAGGAGCAAGCCCACAUCGAGCAAGUUGACUUACUUUAUGUUAUGUAAAGAGUUCGCUAUUACGGCCCAGUUCUUCCACGAGCGAAGGCCCGUCAAAUUGGUCUCAAAGAUUUUCAAGGAAACCCAACCCCUUCCUCUCUUCCCCUCCUUCUAUCCAAAGAAACUUUCCCAGCUGUAGUAGCUGUUCUCUUCCCUUCCAUCGAUUGAGCUUUCUCUCGCUUAAUUCAAUAGGGCCUUAGUAGACCGGUUUUAAUUCGACAACUCGAUCGCUUCUUCCUUUGCUGGAAUUGCCAUCUUUGCUGCUCUCGGCUUCUGAAUUCGUACCUUUCAAUAGCCAGUCUAGAAGCCCUAAUGUUGUAAGGCACGUGACUGCAUUCCUAAAUUCUAUCUCUGCUUCCUUCACUGCUUCCCGAAACUGACCUGCUUACACUGCACUGCUUCUUCCAACAAUACUGGAAGUGGGGCUGCCCUAUAUGGUCAAGCCAAGCAAAAAGGGAGUUUCCUCUUUGUAUCCUCUAGUCUCAAGAGUUUCUUUCAUCUUCGAUAGUCUGGAGAUAGUGCAUUAGCCUCCGUUGACCAAUUUGAAGCUUAUGAAAUCUCUUUCACAAAGAAGAGUCUUCAAUACUCAUUUUCUUUUUCAAGUGACCGUAUGGGUGGUCUAUCAAGACGAUAACAUAUCCCCCAAAUAGUGGCUUAGAAUUGAAAUGCGAAUAUAGCAAAAAACCAUUAAUGAAAAUCACUUUUCACUCUAGAAGUCCUCAAUGGAAGCUAUUCAAAUUUCGCAGAAUAUUGCUUAGUGCUCGACCUACUUAAUGGGAUACCGGUUGAGAAUUAGGCCAAUUUCCUAUUCGGGAAAGCAGACUCAUUCGUUGUCUUAACAAGUUUGAGGCCAUUAUCUCUACUUGAGCAAUCAUUAAUUUAUUUUGAUAAAAAAAGUGAUACCCAGACCGGACGACUUCUAGCCCAGGUCCUACUACCAGUCCGGAGACAAUUGAAUUACCUUCUUAUCAUAUCGAGCCUUUGUCACGAUUUCAAGUAAUGAGUUCGGGCUUCUGUCUGUUAAGGUCUCUCUGAACAGAGCUCCACAACUAUCAAAGGAAUCUCCCCUGACAGAAAGGAGUCCCACAGUUGAUUGAGAGUUUCGAGAAUCUUCGAUAGGAGAAAGAAAAGCAUUAGCCAGUACCAGUACCUGAAUAAGCAGCAGUUGUUUCGACAGCUUGGAUUGGAAUCUCGAAUUCUCAACGGUAAUCCCCCUCUAUUUUCAUCUCGACAUGAAAAGUCAGAGGGACUGAAAGACUCAUAAGGUUAUAGUGCGGGAUCAGUUCCAUUUUCAUAGUUAAAUAAUCUAAUCUACUUCAAAUAAAGACAAAAGGGAAUCCACGGUGACAGAGAAAGAUGAAGCAAAGAAAGCGCAUAGCGUGGCACCCCGUAACAAUGGAAUUGAGCUUGGCCCUGUCUCGGCCUUAAUAAGCAGUUGAAUCCUCUGCAUGAGGAAGUCACCUCGACAUCUUAGAAUGUCGGUAUCGAGGAAAGACAGAAAUAUGGGUUAAUCAACAGUUCCCAACAGAGAUAGAUUUUGUGAAUCUACAGACAGAUAUGGUUUUUGAACUGAGCCUGUUCCCACUCGUAUACCAGCCAAAGUUAGGUAAAGAGGGUUUCUUUGGCUUCUGAACUUAAAAGUCUCUUCUUUCUCUUAGGGGAAGCCCAAAGCUAGCUAUCUCUUCCUUGCUCGACUUCCCGACUUGCCUUCAUGAAUCAAAGUUUAGCCCGAUGAAUGACAGGUUUGCCUUGUGUUGGGACGGUAGGCAAGGUUCGGUACUCAGUUCCAGGCGGUUUGUUUUCCAGUAAGGUACUCAAUCAAGCCGUUCAAGCAAGCGGAUCGUAGAAAAACCACUUCUCUUGUGUGUCCUCCUUCUCAUGGGAGUAGGCACCAGUCUCAGGGAAAGCGGCAGGGGCUUCGGCUGUUGGAAACCCGGACACUGCUCCUGCGCAAUCAGAGAAAGAAGAAAGGUAAUCCAUCUCGACAUUCUGAGGGCUAACUCCUAAAGCAAUCACGGUAAGUUCACUUCGGGAAUCAAUACAAUAAGAUCUUUUCACUCUUUUUCUCUAUCAGUCUACCCCCGUAGUCUUCCGAAGGUGUAUUAAGGGUAGAGCUUUACCCGGACCGCAAUUUCUGACGUGAGAAAGGAAUAGCGUAAGGUCCGACCUUUUUCAUCUAAGGGGUAAAUAAGCUGUUAGGACCGAGGGCAGCGGUUACAUCCCGGUAGUCAGCAACAGCGGUUCAGUGUCAAAUGAAAGCUAAGCGGGAAGGCUACUUCACUUCAGACAAUCAGGCAGAAGCAGCGGUGUCGGGUUCCUUCCUUUCGCCAAUAGACUAGACCAGCUACUACUACUACUACGAAAAGUAAGAGCUCAAACUCCUAAGCACCACUACUCCUAUAAAAAAAAGUUGCUUGCUUAUUCUAUUCUUCUGGAUGUGCUCCACAUUUCAUUCGCUUUCCUUUCACAUCGGUCUUACAAGGCCCUUUCUUUCUUCGGUGAGUUGCAAGAGGGGUUUUUUUUAUGGGGAUAGGUAAGGAAAGAUGACUUUGGGAGGAAUUCGGGAUCGGUCAUCGAGGGGGUAGUGGAUGGAGAUGACGACUAGUAGGAGAUGACAACUAAUGGAGCUAGCUUUCUUCUUUCUGCUGACUAAUCAUGGACUCAGAGCUAAACAACUAUGACUCGUAUGAUUUGCUAACACAACGGAUGGUUUCGAAAUAUUUCUCGCCGGGUUCUGGCGCUGUCCCCCGAGUUCGCCCGCUGAAUCUGCUGCUCGCUGAACAAGAUGCCUUCUCAGCAAUCAGUUCCAGUCCCUUGUCUUUCAUCAUUAUGCAUUCAACGCUUUCGAAUGAGUCGGUUCAAGCAACUCAUAAACCCAAUAUCAAAAGUUUCACCCAGGUAUACAUAUCCUUACCUCAUCUCUGGUUCAGGACCAACCAUGCACUCACAGCCACUACUCUCUUCUUAAGCUUGCAGUAGUGCCGUUGCUCUAGUAGUCCAACCAUGCAGUAGCAUACCAAUGCAGAUAUCGGAGAUGAUACUCCAUCCAUCUUUCAAAAAUCUUUCAAACAUGCAAUCUGCAUCGUCACCAUAGAAAGUACGAAUCCGAUCAAUUUCAACUUCAUUGAAGUUUGAUGGACGUACACGCUCCAUGAUAAACGCCCUUACCAUUCCAUACUGCUCUGCAGUCAACACUCCCAAAUCUGGAAAUGCUAACCAAAACUUCAAUGGUAAAGGAAGUCUGCCAGUCGGCGAAAACAUUAAGAGAUAAUGGCGCUUCCAACGUUUAGAUGUCGGAAGACCUUGACGUGAGUAGACCUUAUAAGAUCCACCGCGUAACCUGUACGAACACAGCAAAUUGACUCGCAGCUCCGAAAACAGGAAAGUGGAAACUCCAGAAGAGAGAGUACGGAGAACCCGAAGGGACACAGGACUAAAGUCAAGUGUAACCUUAUAGACCAUAAAUCUCUUAGCAAAUUCUAGAGCACUCACGUUAGGGACGGACUUUUCUUUUGAUAUGGUCACCUCACACUCCUCCAUAACCUCAAGAUAUGACUUCACGACUACUGGAUCCGCGAUGACAUUGUCAUCGCCCAGUAGAGCAUAAUCAAAGAACUUCACCCCAGGGCGUACCCUCCAUGCUGCAUACCACACCAGCAUAUGAUGCGUGAGUGUGCCAUGAACUGUAAAACCCUAGAGUAGAGGUUGCCCCUUUGUAAACCGGAAGACAUAUAAUUGGGCGAAGGCCCCUUUUCUGGUAACCGGAAGCCAAAAGCACAUAGAAUAAGAUAAAUCCAUGACUCGGCUAAUCGACGGCCAAACAAACUAAACAAGACACCUCCACUUAAAUCUACCGGCAAAGAGUCGGUAGCAGCUUUGAGAUCGAAGGAAAACAAAUGACUUUGACCGAGCAAGGGGCGCGGUUUGGUUAUAUGUCCCGUCAGUCGGAAGACAAUGAAGCACAUCCAUCACCCGAUCAUGUAAAGGCCGGAAAAGCAAAAAAAAUAAUGAAUAAGACAAAGAAAGGACUUGGACACACCUAUCUCAAAUUAGUGAAGAUACCGGUGGUUAUGGGUAUGGAUCCACGCGAGAUGAUAGCUUUCUCGGGUUUUUGAACAGUUGCUGGCUUUAUUGAUUUACCUCUUGGUAAGGGGAAACUAGCGAAGGUUUUAUUACCUUUUCUUCCGUACACCUUUGCCGACACCGGUACCUCCUAUCAUUGGCACUCUAACUAGGCGAAAUGGUGAGGAAGCCGCUUCUGGGACCGUACGAACUAGAAGGAAUGAUGCUUGCAUAGGUGGGGGGCUGCCUCUACUUCUACAUGUGGUGCUACCUUCGCUGCUUUCAUUAGUCUUGGUUCUUCCAAAGUCGCAAUUAGGAUUGGACUUAGCGUUUAUCCCACAUCGGGAAUUCUCUCUGUUAUGUUGUUGUUUUUAGAGAGUGCGGGGGCCUUUGUCUCUAACUGAACUGUGAUGCCGUAGCUUCUUAUGCUGCAGCCCAUACCAUCCUAGCUUCCCAUACUUUUUCUACCGCUAAUAUGACUAGUGCCCAUACAGCCUAUGUCUUUGCUUCUUAUGCCUUUGUUGCCUUUAUCCCACUCGAAACUAACUGAGAUUCUGCUGACUCAGAUGCUGGUGGUCUAACUUGAAUGGAAUCUGAUCGAUCUCAAUAUGGAACAACUAUAAAGUAUAUGCAUAAACUCUUCUGCCUCUGCCGGCUCUGGAACAGGCUCUUGCUCUAGCUCCGUUCCUCUCCAACCUUUUCUAUCUAUCCUUAGAAGUAGGGCGAGUAAUAAGCUCGAUCUGGAUCCGAAAUGGACUAUGGAUCUCGAUCUAUUGGUCUAUGCGGGAUUCGCCCUCUUCUCCAGUCUCAGUUCUGGUUCGAACAGAUCCCUUUCCGCCUUUGAAUUAGCUACUACUACUACUGAUGAAUGCACCUUCGCUGCACUCGGCCGCUUUCAGGGGGAGUGGGGAUGGCAGGGAAGGGCAUAUCUUUGCCGUGAUCCCCACGUUCAACUGUUAAUCCGUACCUAUCCACCCGAUGUGAUAGAGCGAUACUCUGUUCGAUUCCCCUUUGAUCCGAUGCCUACUACCUAAUAGAAAGGCAGCCAGCAGUCCAUGGCUAGCUGAUAUAUCACGGUUUCACCAUCAGAGGGAGGAGAUGGAAAGAAAGGAGUCGAUCACCUAGCCGAUCCCGAAUAGCCCGAUCUUUAUUUCAUUUCAACCGAUCCGCCGGGUCAUAACCUAAAAUUAUAUAUAUUUAUUUUUAUUAUUAUUAUUAUUAUUAUUAAUAUUAAUCUAAUAAUAAUAAUAAAUAUUAUAAUAAUAUAUAAUAAUUAGAUUAAUUAAUAAUUACUUUGCUUUGAUUCUGAAUAUCUGCUUCGACUACUGGAACAUUUCUUAGAAACCAUAUUGACGGAUACUAAAAACAAACCUUUUUUUCUCUAUUCCUUACUUGUGGUAUCUUCAUUCAUUCAGUCAUUCCUUCGUUUUAUAGCCUGUUGUGCUUGUUUUCUUUUGCUUGUUCUGUUGGAACAUUGAGUAAAUCAACCUUAUUAUGUAAUAAUUUUUCAUUCAACAAGGUAUGGGUAUCUUCUCACUUAGCUUGACUAGACAGUUAGUUAGUUCAAAAGGAAAAAGAGUAAAUUGACUUCUAUUGAGACCUCUUCUUGGAUGAAGAAUCAAGUGACUUGUUAAAAGCAUACUUCUAACUCGAACUAUUUCAUUACGGAGUACCUCAAGCCCCGCCUCGCCGUUAGCUUCAUAUCCUUUUUUACGGAACUCUAGCUUGUGCCGUAGACGACCUUCCCACUAGUGUGAGAGGAAACUCUCGAUUGGGACCCGUCCAUUGCUUGGCUCUUCCUACCCACAGGCGGGUUCCCCGGCAGAACGAUGAGGGCUUUGCUUGCCUUUCUUUUCUAGGAUGAGUGGUUGAUUCUCGAAUCCUUCUCUUUGCUUUACAACAUAGUUGAAUGCCCCCAACGGAAGGUACUUGUUUCUCUCUCGGGCCUGGCCGAUCAACGUAUGGCCGGUGUAAGAACCCAAAGCGCCUAUUCCCGGACGCAACCAACCUCUGACUAUUCCACUCUGAUUCCUUCGCUCUGCCCAUGAAAGUCUUCUUUCUUCGAGUGAGAGAGGAGAAGAUUCGCACUGGCUUUAUGGCUCAUACGACCUCGAAAGUUCAAUAAUUUAAGGGGUUCCGACGAAGGAAGAGCUUGACUGCUACUAAAAAAGGUACGCCCUAAUCGCUCCCCUUUAUUAUUAUUAGUAAGAUAGGGUGGUUGAGAAGCAGGUCGUUCGUGUGCUUAUUGUAAAAAAAUACCUACGACUAUCAAAGGAACUAAUCUCACAAGCAACCGUCACUCAUAAAGGGGCAACAAGACCUCUAACGGCCACUCUCUUUCUCUUCCUUCGGUAGGCUCUGCCUCAUAGCCGGACUCAGAAAUGCAACUCUUUGAUCAAACCUAGCAAAUAAUGGCAUAAACAAUGGAUUCUCACUCGGGGCUCAACUUUCCAUAAUCCACUGUUAAGGACUCUCUUUUUUCUCAUCCACCUUCUUUCCCUUGGUACGGUACCUUCACGGCACAUUUGUUCUCAAACCCUUCUUUUCAGACGUCGAAAUGGGCUUUUGCCUCGUAGCCAUACCUAGACGAAUCUGACUCCUCUUCGAAAAGAGAGAGCAGUUGUUCCCCGAAAGACUUGGAAAGGUUUUUUUUGCUACAAACGAGAUUGAAGAAGUCCAUCGACUUAAAAACCCUUGGUACUUUAAACCAAAGUCUUGCCUUGACUUACGAGCAAGCCGAACUCCCCCUUCGCAACACCUACCUUUUUUUCUUCCUGAGGUGGGUGUCCCGCUUGAAGCAAGAGGAUUAGACAUCUUAUUCAUUGAGUCGACGAGAUCGAAGUAGUAGGUUUCCAGCCCAGCAGUUUACGGAGAAGAGGGGAAAGUUUGAGGAGAGGAAUAAGAAGAAGAGAGGGGACCUCAUCAUGGCACGCUGGAGCAGGAAUUGAAUCUGCACUUGGCUCUCAUAAAGCCAAAGCAAAACAACCUUUCAUUGCCACUGAAUCCCCCUUUUUGAUCAGCCGAACUUUCCUUCUGCUUGACUUAGAGUAGAUUUCAUUCGACAUAUGCGACCAACUGCCCCCUCUCUUGCUUUUGAUCCAGCUAAUGGUAAUGAGUGCGCCUGAAGCCCCUGGAGUUCUUCCUCUUUUCCUUCCCCGAUCCGAUUCAACCCUCCGAUCUCUCUUUCCGUAGAGGAGAAGAGCUUCCCCUUGUUUUUCGGCGUCAACCUUUGUUCUUUCCUAACCAGACCUCGACGAAUCCAAAGUGAAAGGUCCAACUGGUCAAAUUCCUUAUUCAUUGGUCUAGGGUAUGGAAGCAGUCCUUCCUAUCGAAAUUUAGAUCCCAUCCCUUAGGAUACAGAUUGACAAGGACUUAACCGAUAGUGAAAAGCUUCCAGCUUUGUUGGCACAAAAAAACUCUUGGAUGAGAAAGGCCUACGUGCCGCUGAGCAUGCCCAAAUUUACCAAAAACGUAUCAGUUGAGCCUAUGAUAAGAAGGUCUUAGAAAGGAAGUUCAAGAUAGGUGACUUAGUCCUUAAGAAAAUCAUGCCUUCUAGAGAUCCACACCCUAGGGGAAAACGUCAAGCCGAAUCGGGAAGGGCCCGAUUUCAUAUCCGCCGUCCAUCCUGGAAAUGCAUAUAAACUUUAGAAUGCGGAUGGUGAUGAACUACCCGAUCCCUGGAAGGCCAUCUACCUCAAGAGGUACUACGCGUAGGCCAACCUUUGUUUGGAUUCACAUUUUGGCCUUACCUCGAGAGAACUUUGUUAUGUUUCCGAGUCUAAAGAGUAGGGCAUAUGUUUGUUGUCUAAGUUCUAAAAGAUAGCAAGCUAGUGCAUUCAUUCAUUAGUACUUCACCAGCGGAUAGGGUGACUUUCUCGUUCUCGACCUUUCCCCAGUCCCCUAUUCGCCGAACCAUUCCUUCCAUCGUGAACCUUUAUCCCUGAGUCAACCGAAAAAAUAUCCGCCUCCCCUCUUAUUCAUUGAGAAAGGCAGGGGUGGGGAUAUCUACUAAAUAUGCUCGCUCCUAUUAGGAGUAUAUUUACUAAUGAGACUCCUCUUUUAGUUUCAUUCUCUGAAUAUGCACCUCUCCCUUUCAUUCCUUAACUCAUUCAUCCAUGAAUUUCUUUCCCGCUACCCCCCUUUUUGGUAGGAGAUAGUUUCCUCUCCCGCUUAAAUUCCUUGCAUCGGAUAGAAGCAGCCCAUGGAAUGAAUUUCGAUACCAUCUCCUUAUCGGUUGGCGGAAAGUCAUCUCUUGGGCAGUCGAAAGGGGGGCAACGAAUCGUCGAAUGAAUUCCUUGUGUCGGGUGGAGAGAAGAGGGUGGUAGAUAGAAUGAACAGUCGACUGCUAUGGGAGAGGGAAUCAACUAGGAACUGGCAUCUCCUGGUCCCUUCCAACCAUUAAAGGUACGUGCUUAUUACUAGGAGUGUCAGAUGCAACCUGUGUGCUCAGUCCCAAACUGUAUUGAUGACCAAGCGCGCAGUCUUUAUAGCGCGCUUUUCAAGCGCUUACCAAGCAAGCAAGCCGGCAUACUCAGAGAGCUCUUCGCCUUUGGUCCGAUGUGGGGGCCCUUUCUUAUUGAAUGAAGUAGGCGGUAACGGUAAUAAGCGACCGAUCAUUAGUAAGAGACGAAGACAGGGCCAGACGAGAUAUUGAAAGGCUUGAAUGGACAGGUAAGGGACAGACUGAUUGCACCUACCAGGCACAGGACUUAUUGGCUUCAGAAGCAAGCCAAAGAAAGAAGGGAUUCGCUUACAGAAGUACUUUCCAUAUUUUGAAAGGGAAUAUAUAUAUUUGAAGGAAGGUACUCGUGUACGGGAAUCGAAGUGAUUAGAACAGAACUGAGCUUGCCAGCCAGGAAUGAAGAAGCAACGGACGCUAUUUGUGGACAGAGCAAGGGACAGAUAGAGGAAUGGUUUACCUCCUCUAUCCUUUCCAUUAAUUGAUUGCAUACCGUCUCGCUUCUGUUUACCGUACGAUUAGCUGUACUUCUUUCCGAAUGGUUGAUAUAACCAUUCCCUACUGACUCUAUUAGGGGCAUACUCGAUAGUCGUCUUUCCUUUCCUGUACUAUUCAAAUUGCCCUAUUUUUUCUAGUAAGGGGAAGGGCAGACCGCUUAUCAUAAAACAGAAGAUCGAUAUCGCACAGAAGGCCUGAUAUCGCCCUAUUUGAGAUACUGAUUCAAGUUAUAGUACUUCUUCUUCCUAAGAGCGAUUGAACUAGCCUUUUGACUAAAUAGAUAUGAGCAUAGAGAGGGAAUCCUGAACUACAGGAAAAAAGGAGAGCAGCCAGCCUUUAUAUUAUUAUAUAUUAGCGGGUAGGUUUUUCUUUUUCCUGAAGCUUAGAUGAGAUUAGAGAUGAAAAAGACGCUAGCAUUAGCAGAAGAUCAUCGAUCAUACUUUCUUGCCUUAGCCACUAUUGAGUAAGAAAGAUUUCUACUUGCCUUAGAUCACUAUCGAGGAAGAUAAACUCAUAGCACAGAUGAUCCUUACCCGGGAAGGCAGAAAGAGUACCUGUUGUUAACAAAACGGAGUCUCAAAAACUCAAUUAUCGUAUUUUCAAGCAGAGCACCAGUAAAAGACCUAGAGGCCUAUGAAAGUCACGUUUUUACUUAAGAAAGAUGGCGCCUUUGCGAGGAUGUCUUUAAUCAGCCAAUGCCAAGGCAACAAAGCUAGCAUCAAACCUACCCGCCCAGAACCCUCCUUAAUUCCUACCAAGGUUCCCAUCCCCGAUGACAGAAGAAAGAUAAGCUAAAAUGGGAGCUGGAGAGGCAGGAAGAAAGAUUCUCACUUGGACAGGAGAUGCGGACGAGUUUUGGCCGAGCUCCAAGAAGCCUGGGAGAGAAGGAGGCAGGGCCAAGCUGAGCUAAACCUAAACGUAUGCAUGGUUAAAAAGAAGUGUACCCAAGUUCCUGUGUUGCUCGAUAAUUUGUUGAUCCUUUUUAUCUUUAUCCUGGUGGCGCUCUCUUACUUACUAUUUUUUUGGUGCUUUAGCCAGCCUUACUCAUCUAUGAGACAGAUGAGAGAGUGGGAAAAUGCGGUGUCAUGACUUUUUCCUUGAAAGGCAUCGUCUGUUGACGAAUCCAUUUUAAGCCUAAGAUUCCCCUGAGAAUGGAUCUCUCAUUUGGGCAAAAAGGCUGUGAAAAAGGAUUCCAAAUCAGGCUUUCCUCACUUGAGUAGAAAGCUUUUCAGAAAGGAGGAUAUCCUGAGCCAAGCACAAGCAGUAGUCUCAAAGAGUAAUGCAGUUGGAUCAAGAAGGCCGAAAGCCCGGCAGUAAAGCUCACGUUGUCGACACCUCUUGUCCGUCAGUGAGUGAUUUCUCGUAUGUGUAAAGACGGGUAGACCGUCUCAUCUCUUUCCUCAAAGUGGUGGAUCGAACUUCGAUCAUGUCACGAGAGUGGAUUCAGUUGGUUUCAUCGGUCAUUCUGCGAACCUGAACCUGACAGCUAUCACUUACUGGUCAAUGAAAGUGGGGUAAGUUUGACUCUGAUUCGGAGCUUGAAAGUCAAAGAGUCUCAUGCACUUGCUUAUGGAACUCUUGCUUCAAAGAAUAAUCUUCCUAGGUUGCCCUAUCUCUUCCUCUUCGGUUGUACUUUCCCUUUUCUUCCUGUUCAACUUGCCCAACUCUCACGAACUGGCAGUGGUUUUUCAGCAUCAAUGAGUCGACUGCUUUUUAUAUGACCUUUGCUUUUAGCUGCUGAUGUCUGACGACAAUGACUGCCUCACCUGAUGAUACAUAGCACUGAAUUGGAUUAGCGGACACAGAGUCAUGUAAAGCGAGUGGAAGGGUCAGACCAUCAAGUGGAUCGGAAUCAUGUAUAUAGGAAUCAGGGGCUAACGCAUGCCUAAACCGACCUGUCUUUCCUCUCCCUUAUCGAUCGAGCCUCACUUCCGCUCUCCUUCCCUAACGGAUAGUACGACCUCCUAACGGUCCCCUUCCCUUUGGUCGAGCACGAGCCUAAUCUAUCCCCUCUUUGCGUCAAACUUCUAUGUGGGCUGCGCCCUCCUCUGAUUCUACCUAUCCACCUGGAUUUUGGGGUCUCAAUGCCAUUCCUUGAUACGAAAUCUCCUUCUUGGCGACUCACUCAUUGAGGAAAGAAGCCCUACUCGCCGGCCUCAAUGGACCAAUGGGGCCACUCCUCGAUCCUUCUGACCCUGACUAAUCAAUCGGCUUGGAAGUUGGAAGGGAGAUGCCAUGACAAACUCAUCCAAUCAAGCUCGUCUGGGAAUCUUUCUCUGACUUGUCCUUCGGGGAAGGGAGCUAGAUUCGUAGAAAUCGAGAAGAAUGGCAGCUUUGACUAACAGGAUAGGGUGCCAAGGAGAGGGUUUCAUUGAAGAAGUCAUAGUGCGGAGAGGAGCUCACCUUCAUCUAAAGAGGGAGCCUUGAAGCCAAAGCCAUCUUGGAUCAAUUGGGAACUUCAUCGGGCACGCACCUUUCAUCGUGAAUGAUUAUGCUCAGGGAGCCCCAACUAUAGCCAUUUCCUUCCAUAAACAACCACGGAAAAAGCAAGAGAAGUAGCCCCAGUCAGACAGCAAAGUCGCAAAGGUAAAAGGGAGAGCAUCAGGUCAAUCAGUCGAUGAUCCGGUGGAUCAAUUCAUUAGUCUUGCAGUUGGUCAAGCCAAAGACUGAGUCGACUAAGCAACUGUGUAAGGAGUGGAUGAUCAAUAAUUCACAGCAAAAGUGGAUACAAGAACCGAGUUCAGUAGUCGAUGUUGAAGUCGUGCAAGUACUGAUCUCUGAACCAGAAGCAGCAUACUUAUCGACUGCUGUGACCAACACGCACCAGCAACAGCGCUCGAAAGUCAGAGUGAACCAAGAGAAGCUGAACAGACGGAGUGCAAGUGCAUCCAUGGAUCAGAAAAGGAGUGAGUGGCUUCCAAGGUGUAGGUGGGGGAACGAGUGAUGGACCAAGCAAAGGAAAGGGGGAAGAAUCACUGGAAAGACGCUGCUUUGGUUGACCAGCGAACAAGCACGAGCCAGGCAAUAAGAAAGCAAUAGCCGAGGUUGGGUCGUCAGGAAGGAUAGCCAACAUAGAAGAGCUUUUGCCCAUUCCAUUAGUCGAAGCGAAGUCCUGUCCUUGGAAAAUGAUUUGAUUCACGUUUCCUAUCUCCCCUUGAUAGAAAAGGGAUCCUCGCCUGCCAAAGGUUCUUCUUCCCUCUCUGCAAAUGGUGAUUCCACAGCAUCUGAGUUCAUCAAGCGAAGAACAGAGAUCCUUUCUCGAUGAAGGUCUUCUUAUCUUAUUCCUCUGGGAAAGACGUGGUUCAUGAGCCAUUGACUCGAUCAUCAAGUCGAAAUAAGGCGCUUUCUUGAGUUCUUUUACCCAUCUAUUGUACCGUGGGGAGCAGCAUCCGAGCUAUGGGAUCGCUAGCUUAUGAAAGAUCAUAGAUCGGGGACAUCUGACUGAGAUAGAUCGUCAUCUCCGGGCGAACCUCUCUUUGUCGAUCAGGUAACUAUGAGAAUGGUUCGAUAUGUGAAUUCAAAGAAAAUAGGGGACAUAAGGGUUCUUAUGCAGUUGUUCGAAUCCUACGCCUAUCGCCUACCUUAUCUGCCGAUUUAUCGUAGAUAACAGAUGUGAGCGUUGCCUCACAAACCUAUCCAAAACCCACUUUUGUUGUCAGGGCGUUUCGCCCGACAUUUUCAAAAGUGUUCUUCAUAUAUAUAAUUAAUAAAUUCCAGAUCUAAGGGCUCCAUGGGCAGAAGGAUAAGGAAGGUCAGAAAAGCUAGCAGCGGGAAAGCGGUAAGGGAAGGCAAUCGGUAAUAGUCAGCUGGCGGUUCGGUUCGGUGGAAGAAGCUGUAAGAGCUGUCAGCGGUAAUAGGCACUUCAAUGAAGCAGCAGCAGUAGAAUCAUCAUUAGUGGAUACAGCACCAACAACAGCAGCAGAUCCAGAGGCAGUUCCAGUCCUUGUCGCAGCGCAGUAGUUAGUAGGUGAUCCAACACCAGAGAGAAAAGACGCAGCAGAUUCAUAUACUGACCUUAGUGAUAUAGAUCCAUACCUAGGUACAGAACGAGACCCAUUAGUGAGGUCCAUAUCGGUAAUAGAAAGACCUGCCACAAAAGCAUUCCGAUGGAGCAGAAGUAGACCCUUCCCCCGCCAUAAUAGCACCACCUAGCUUCGCUGCAUCGGGAUAGUAGUAGCACAUAUCUUUAUAUAGUGAUCGUGAUAGGGAUAAUGAUACCAAUGAUAGAGUUGACCUAGCCUAGCGACAUCCAUCCCUUGUCUCCUACUGGUUUGUCUCUGAAAAUGGUUCUAAAUAAUGGUAUACUCCGGCUAGCGAAGAGGACAACCGAACCAACAUAUUAAGAAGAAGUUAAGGUCUCGGUUCCGUCUAUAUUCAUAGAAGGUGAUGUCGACGCUUUAGUUUUCAUUUUUUAAGAAAGGUUAAGAAGAAUAUCCUUGGCUAAAUAAAAGAAAGAAAGCCGAGCACGACUCCUAUCACUUUCUUAUUAGUCAGUCACUUCAGGCUUGGGUCACAAGCGCUAGCACAUCGGGCUUCUUAGCCUAAAAAAUAAGUGCUUUCCACCUCUUUCUUGCUGCAGUUGCAGGUCGAAGAUGAACCUUGCUGUUUAGUUUCUGCGUGACAAAUACGCUGGAUUGUGUUACGCGAAAAUGACGCCAUGCCCGGUUUAAAGAUAUAACUAUUGCUGCUUACUCCAAUCCUAAACAAGCAUCAAAACGCACAUAGGCUAGCGUGAGCGGUAAGGAGAGAAAGAAAGCAGCAAGCCAGCUAGCCCCCCGACAACUAGAGCGUAAGCAGACGCAGCUGAAAAAACUAGACGUCAUAGGCUAGCUCAAAACGUCGAGGUGAUAGCUUGAGGUCCUAAUCUGACUGAGUUGUAUUUAGGAUAAGCGGGAAGGCUCAAUAGAACGGGAUCCUCACGUCUACAAUGGAGCUUCGCCUUGACUACAAAGUUUAGGGUGCUUCACUCACGCGGCUUUGCUAGAUGGAUGCAGAAUAGUUGGAUGGAGUCUCGCUCAGUCAAUUAGUCUAGCCUCCCUUCCGAGUCAGAUUUUUUCCGGAAUUUUUUCUUGUCAAGUGAAAAUGGAGAUUCAAAAAUGGUUGGAACUAUUUGAACACGACGUUUUUUGGGGAGUCGGCAUCCAUUAUGUGGAAGUUGGGUCACAUCGUGGAUGUACAUAAUUGGAGAUUGAUCUCCUACUCCUUCACCUCGAAAACCUUCUCUCCAGCUCAAGAUCACUUUAUUCUUUUUCCUGAAAUAAGUAGAUCCUUUCACUUUCAUGACAACUGACUUCAAACCCAUCUUUCUGGCGGAUCGCCCGACAUGUUCCGCAGUUGCUUCAGCAGCAUACCGAGAAAGACGAGACCGCCCUUUUCUUUCCUCCAAACAACCUGCGGAGGCCCCAGUCUUUUUAUUCCCCCUAGCAUCUGUCACGGUCACAAAGGUCUUAUUUUUGAUCAGUAAGACAUGGACAAAAUCUCUGUUCUUUUUCCGUGAACAUUGCUCAUCUUCCUCCGAGAUGCUCUGUACGAAGUUCAUGGAUUUGAAACUGCCCGCACCCGCAAGCCCAAGCCGAUCAGUCUCGGCCGUUGUUUUUUCCUGGGGCAUCCUAUGUGAAAAGUGUUGAGAAAGCAUUUUGUUUUUUUAUUCUUUGUCUGCUCCCCCAAAAAAAAGAGAGACUUGUCGGAAAUCGCCGGUUGGGUUGGUCCGACCAAGAAAGACAUGGGAUGCACUUUUUCGUUUCGAACCAUACCUCGAGGAGAGGUGGAAGUGAAAGACUGGCUACCUAUAAAGAUCCCUCACUGCACACUUUCUAUAGUUCUGUAUCCAGGAUCGGCUGCAUGCUCGAGUUAUGAAUCGGGUAUAGAACCCAGGAUGCUUGGUUACAAUUCCGAAUCCGCUAAACCAUGUUUCUUUUCUUUUUUUUUGUCGAAACUAUCCAUGGGCAAUGAGUUUCGAUGUAUUGGGUGUAUCCGUUCUUUAUUUAAAGAAUUAUUUUCGUGCUUACGUCAUUUGCUUUCGCGUCCUUUUCUCAUUCAUUUUCUUUUAUCCCGGAACACUAACGAAAUCGCGGUUUCCUGAACUGAAGAAUGUGAACCUUAUAUAAUCAAUAGAAUAGAACAGCAUCUUUGGUGAAAGAAAGAGUGGUUAGGUCAGAAGCAUCUAGCACGCACUUCAAUCCAAACAAGCAAUAAGCAAGAUGAAUCUCUUUUUCUUUCUAUUCUAUAAUAAAUGAAAUUAUGUAAUCAGGGCUAAAGCACAUACAUAUGGAGAGGUGCAAAGGACAGAUGUGCCAGUUAGAUGAUAAUAAUUACCAGGGUCUGCCAGCGGUAUUUGAUUGAAAUAGUGCGGUACGAAUUACUUUCAUCAUUUAUAUACCCCAUCUUAAUAUAAUAAGAAGAAGACGUUAUAGUCACUUCUAACUUCAUCCAAUCAACUGCCUUGAAUGCAAUGCCUCUCCUAUUUUGAAAACGAACAAAAGAAAGAAAAAACAGGAAAGGCCAUUGGAAGGAUGCGAGCGGGAAGAUCCAUCUCAGACAGAGCAGACGGGGAAAGAGAUAUUAAAUGAAAGGUGUGCCAGCAGAUAUGUAUUUAUAACAGAAAAACCAAAAGCGGUGAGCUGACCUACCAACGUGUGAAUGUUUUAUUCAUGAAUUAUUUACUGUAGUCACAUCCUCAUAAAUAGUUCUAUCCGAUAGGCGUCUUGCAGUCUCUUAGGUGAUAGCGGAGCUCUUCCGUGGGGAAGCACCUAAC